UAAGCUUCCUGAGCCCCUUCUUCCUUCUCAAUUCAAGAUCAGAUAAUAUAGCACAUACCAUCAGUACUCAGUAUCCGGAAUAAUCUGUCAGCAUGAGGUUUGUGAUAGUUGCAGUGCUGGUGUUGAUAGUCAUGGGAAGCUUCUGUGGGGCCAAAGAUGUCGAAAAGUUGGUGAAGGAGAAGGAAAACAAGGUAUUACUCGGUGACAGUAACGAUCAUCAUCGUCACGCGGGGAAGGAAGACAAGGUAUUACUCGGUGACAGUAACGAUCAUCAUCGUCACGCGGAGACGGAAGACAAGGUAUUACUCGGAGACAUUAAUGAUCAUCAUCAUCAUAAUCGCCCGGAGAAGAAAAACAAGAAAGUACUUGUUGACAAUAAUGAUCAUCAUCAUAUCCCUAGCAAAAACUAUAAUCCUCCUCGCAAGGCCUAUGUCGACCGUCCAGCUCACGUACAACGCAAUGCUUAGUGCAUUAGUUUGCCAAAUCUUCUACAGUUCUUUAUUAUAAAAUUCUUGCUGGGCUUAAAAAGAUAAGUGAGACAAGCAAAAAGAACAUGUACUCUCACUUCUCUUUUAAAACUCUUGCAACAAUUUUAUAAUAGAGAAUUUUAAAAGAUUUUCACCCAAAGCAUAUAUUAUAUAAACGUACAUGGCGUUUAUGUAGUGUUUAUUUUAUAUAGUCAAGUUGCUUUGUUGCUUGCUUGUUGCGUCAUAUUUUUAUGAACCCUACAUGUGUGUGUGUGUGUGUGUGUGUAUUAUGUUUGUGCUUAAGCUUGGGGGCUUCGAUUCCAAGCCAUGAAUAAAACCUAUAAAGAACUAGGGUUGUAACUACUGGCAUGCAUGGCCAUGCAAAUAUAUGACUGUUGAUUAA